UAGCUAAUCCUGGUCGGACAUCAGGAGGUUAGUGCAAUGGCAUAAGCUAGCUUGACUGCGAGCGUGACGGCGCGAGCAGGUGCGAAAGCAGGUCAUAGUGAUCCGGUGGUUCUGAAUGGAAGGGCCAUCGCUCAACGGAUAAAAGGUACUCCGGGGAUAACAGGCUGAUACCGCCCAAGAGUUCAUAUCGACGGCGGUGUUUGGCACCUCGAUGUCGGCUCAUCACAUCCUGGGGCUGAAGUAGGUCCCAAGGGUAUGGCUGUUCGCCAUUUAAAGUGGUACGCGAGCUGGGUUUAGAACGUCGUGAGACAGUUCGGUCCCUAUCUGCCGUGGGCGCUGGAGAAUUGAGGGGGGCUGCUCCUAGUACGAGAGGACCGGAGUGGACGCAUCACUGGUGUUCGGGUUGUCAUGCCAAUGGCACUGCCCGGUAGCUAAAUGCGGAAGAGAUAAGUGCUGAAAGCAUCUAAGCA
rnacentral:rRNA from 1 species